UGGGCCAUAUAUGUAUAUAUUAUAUAUUGUUCUUAAUAUUCUCUCGUUUUGAUCAAUUUGUUCUGUAUUAUACCUGGCACAAAUAUUACAAAGUAAAUAUGGUCAAGAUAUCGUUGUAUAUACAAUAUUUCAUAGCGUGGCUAGAAGACUUGGUCUACGUUGCGAUCUAAUAGAUGUUUAUACUGAAAUCUGUAUAUUUUGGAAAUCAAAAUUCGUCACGAAUAAUUUAGAAAAUGAACGAUGUUUUUACAUAGAAGACGAAAAUUUCCCGAAUUGUCUUCAUGAUUGUCUACCAGAUUACAUGUCUUGUACACAUCAUGACGUCAUCAAAAUAAGAACUGCAAAGAUGUUGGUCAUGAUACAAGAUUUUGUUGAAACGUUUAUAUGGACACAUAAUAAUCUAUUUGAAAUUAGUCAAUUGUAAUGUGUAAAAAACAUACGCGCAAUAACAUAAUCGCUAGUUAGUAUAUAACAUAAACCAUUGUAAAAAUAAAGAGCAUUGUGAGA